GACGAACGCUGGCGGCGUGCCUAAUACAUGCAAGUAGAACGCUGAAGGAGGAGCUUGCUCUUCUGGAUGAGUUGCGAACGGGUGAGUAACGCGUAGGUAACCUGCCUGGUAGCGGGGGAUAACUAUUGGAAACGAUAGCUAAUACCGCAUAAUAUUGACUAUUGCAUGAUAGUCAAUUGAAAGGUGCAAAUGCACCACUACCAGAUGGACCUGCGUUGUAUUAGCUAGUUGGUGGGGUAACGGCUCACCAAGGCGACGAUACAUAGCCGACCUGAGAGGGUGAUCGGCCACACUGGGACUGAGACACGGCCCAGACUCCUACGGGAGGCAGCAGUAGGGAAUCUUCGGCAAUGGACGGAAGUCUGACCGAGCAACGCCGCGUGAGUGAAGAAGGUUUUCGGAUCGUAAAGCUCUGUUGUAAGAGAAGAACGAGU
rnacentral:rRNA from 1 species